CAGUCGAACGAAGCUCCUGCGACAGAUUCCUUCGGGAUGAAGAUGCUCGAGACUUAUUGGCGGACGGGUGAGUAACGCGUGGGUAACCUGCCCUGUACUGGGGGACAACAGUUAGAAAUGACUGCUAAUACCGCAUAAGCCUACGGAGUCGCAUGACUCAGUAGGAAAAAUUCCGGUGGUACAGGAUGGGCCCGCGUCUGAUUAGCUAGUUGGUGAGGUAAUGGCUCACCAAGGCAACGAUCGGUAGCCGGCUUGAGAGAGUGAACGGCCACAUUGGGACUGAGACACGGCCCAAACUCCUACGGGAGGCAGCAGUGGGGAAUAUUGCACAAUGGGGGAAACCCUGAUGCAGCAACGCCGCGUGAGUGAAGAAGUAUUUCGGUAUGUAAAGCUCUAUCAGCAGGGAAGAAAAUGACGGUACCUGACUAAGAAGCACCGGCUAAAUACGUGCCAGCAGCCGCGGUAAUACGUAUGGUGCAAGCGUUAUCCGGAUUUACUGGGUGUAAAGGGAGCGCAGGCGGUCUGGCAAGUCUGAUGUGAAAAUCCGGGGCUCAACUCCGGAACUGCAUUGGAAACUGUCAGACUAGAGUGUCGGAGAGGUAAGUGGAAUUCCUAGUGUAGCGGUGAAAUGCGUAGAUAUUAGGAGGAACACCAGUGGCGAAGGCGGCUUACUGGACGAUAACUGACGCUGAGGCUCGAAAGCAUGGGUAGCAAACAGGAUUAGAUACCCUGGUAGUCCAUGCCGUANACGAUGAUUACUAGGUGUUGGAGGANUGACCCCUUCAGUGCCGCAGUUAACACAAUAAGUAAUC
rnacentral:rRNA from 1 species